CUGACUGUGUGUGUGUCUGUGUGUGUCUGACUAUGUGUGUGUGUCUGUUGCAGAUGCAGGCUGGGGACUGGCCAUGUGACUGGGGCACACACCGCCAUGACUGAGCAGCGCCGGGCCGAACCUGGGUGGACCGGUUGGAGGACGGCCAGUGGGACUCGGAUGGCCCUGAUGAAUCCGGCACCCCUGUGGCACAGACGAGCAUAGCGCCUCAUCUUCAGACAUACAGUACUGGAAGGCCUCAGGAGUGAUGGAUGCCAUGUGAGGAUGUGGCCGCUGAGAUGAGAAACGAAUUCAGAUCUCUGGGAGAGAAAGGAGAGAGAGAAAGGAGAGAGAGAGGGAAACAGAGGCGAAGCGGGAAAACAGACUUAAAAAGAGCCAGGACAUUUACUGGAGCGUUUACUGAGCCACACCGUGAAUGGACAGCUAGAGGACCACGAGGAGCAAUUAGGUGAGUUAGAAUCACUGACCACACCUUUAAGGUUUGAAUUCAGGAGGGUGAGGAAGAGAGAGUGAAAGAGAGAGAGAGAGAAAGAGAGAGUGUGUGUGUGUGUGAGAGAGAGAGAAAGAGAGAGAGUGUGUGUGUGUGUGUGUGUGUGAGAGUGUGUGAGAGUGAGUGAGAGAUAGAGAGAGAGAGUGUGUGUGUGUGUGUGUGUGUGUGAGAGAGAGAGUGAGUGAGAGAUAGAGAGAGAGUGUGAAAGAAUGAGACAGAGUGGAAGGGAGAGAGAGAGAGAGAGAGAGAGAGAGAAAGAAAUCCUACCCUUUUGUCAUGGCCCCUGAAUAGAAAUGAGCACAGCCGA
rnacentral:lncRNA from 1 species